AUUAGGAGAAUUUCCCUGAGAGGUCUGUGGCUCUUCGAAGCCGAUCUCCUUCCAUGCUCGCGAAACUGUACCAAAUUUAAAAUAAUACCAAAGGAAAGAGCAAAAACUUCAUUUGUAAUAGAUAAAUAGAAACAUUUUGUAACGAAUUUCAGUUUUUUAUUUUCUUUGAAACCCUAGGGUUAGUUUUUUUUUUCCCUUAUUUUUAUUUUUACAAUCCGAUCGCAAUGGAUAUGAGAUUUCCAUACUCGCCGGCGGAGGUCGCCAAAGUCCGCGUGGUGCAGUUCGGCAUAAUUAGCCCUGACGAGAUUAGGCAAAUGUCUGUGGUGCAGAUUGAGCACAGUGAAACUACGGAGAGGGGUAAGCCGAAGCCAGGGGGUUUAAGUGAUCCUAGACUGGGUACAAUUGAUAGAAAGAUGAAGUGUGAAACUUGUACUGCCAACAUGGCCGAGUGUCCAGGUCACUUUGGUCAUCUGGAGUUGGCCAAGCCAAUGUUUCAUAUAGGCUUUAUGAAAACAGUGCUGAGCAUCAUGCGAUGUGUUUGUUUCAACUGUUCCAAGAUUCUCGCUGAUGAGGAGGAUCACAAGUUUAAGCAAGCCUUGAAAAUAAAGAAUCCCAAAAACAGGCUUAAAAAGAUUCUUGAUGCAUGCAAGAAUAAGAGUAAAUGUGAAGGUGGUGAUGACAUUGAUGUUCAAGGUCAGGAUACUGAAGAACCGGUUAAAAAGAGUCGUGGGGGCUGUGGUGCUCAGCAGCCAAAGCUGACCAUUGAAGGUAUGAAGAUGAUUGCUGAGUACAAGGCUCAAAGGAAGAAAAAUGAUGACCAGGAACAGCUACCUGAGCCUGUGGAAAGAAAGCAGACACUUACAGCAGAAAGGGUUCUUAGUGUUCUGAAACGGAUAAGUGAUGAGGACUGCCAAUUGUUAGGAUUUUAUCCAAAGUAUGCACGUCCAGAUUGGAUGAUUCUACAAGUCCUUCCAAUUCCACCACCUCCUGUGAGGCCCUCUGUGAUGAUGGAUACAUCCUCUAGGAGUGAGGAUGAUUUGACUCAUCAGUUGGCAAUGAUUAUUCGGCAUAAUGAGAAUUUGAGGAAGCAGGAGAGGGGUGGGGCGCCUGCACAUAUCAUAUCGGAGUUUGCACAGUUGCUGCAGUUUCAUGUAGCAACAUAUUUUGACAAUGAGUUGCCUGGACAGCCAAGGGCUACACAAAGAUCUGGGAGACCUAUUAAAUCUAUUUGUAGUAGGCUGAAAGCCAAGGAAGGCCGGAUUAGGGGUAACCUGAUGGGGAAACGUGUGGAUUUUUCUGCACGUACAGUCAUCACACCUGAUCCCACUAUUAAUAUUGAUGAACUAGGUGUGCCUUGGAGUAUUGCAUUGAAUCUCACCUAUCCAGAAACUGUGACUCCAUAUAACAUUGAAAGGUUGAAGGAGCUUGUUGAAUAUGGGCCACAUCCUCCCCCGGGUAAAACUGGUGCAAAGUAUAUCAUAAGGGAUGAUGGUCAAAGACUUGAUCUUCGUUAUUUGAAGAAAAGCAGUGAUCAUCAUUUGGAGCUUGGCUACAAGGUGGAGAGGCAUUUGAAUGAUGGUGACUUUGUGCUCUUCAAUCGACAACCCAGUCUCCACAAAAUGUCAAUUAUGGGACAUAAAAUAAAGAUUAUGCCAUAUUCAACUUUCCGUUUGAACUUGUCUGUUACUUCACCAUAUAAUGCUGAUUUUGAUGGU
rnacentral:misc_RNA from 1 species